GAAAUGCGAUAAGUAGUGUGAAUUGCAGAAUUCAGUGAAUCAUCGAAUCUUUGAACGCACAUUGCGCCCUUUGGUAUUCCAAAGGGCAUGCCUGUUCGAGCGUCAUUUGUACCCUCAAGCUUUGCUUGGUGUUGGGCGUCUUGUCUCCAGUUCGCUGGAGACUUGCCUUAAAGUAAUUGGCAGCCGGCCUACUGGUUUCGGAGCGCAGCACAAGUCGCGCUCUCUUCCAGCCAAGGUCAGCAUCCACAAAGCCUUUUUUCAACUUUUGACCUCGGAUCAGGUAGGGAUACCCGCUGAACUUAAGC
rnacentral:misc_RNA from 1 species